GCGCGACUUCCCUGGCCCUCCCCCUGCGGACCAGUGAACCUCGCCCGAGGGCUCAAUAAAGAAGAUUUUUGCCCUCUUUUUCUCACCUCUCAGCCUUAUUGAUCCAUGGUGCCCUUCCAUUGCCUUUCAUUGGUGCCGAAACCCGGGAGGGGACACCUCCUAAGCCCCCCCAGAGGCUCAGGGGGACUCCCCUCCUGGUCGGAUCAGUCCUCUCCCUCAGUCAGGUCAGGCUUCUCCUCCACGGCCAUCUGUCCAUUUCGUCCGGUUACUUGCUGCCAGGUCGCAGUUGCUGCAGCUACUCCAGUCCAAUUCGGCCGACGCUAGAUCAACUGAGAUGCAAAACCCAUGUUCACAUCAUGAGUGAGUCUUCUAACUCGGACAAUGCAAUCAACAAAUUCUAAGACCAAAUUCCGGUGGCACUGGCUCCAAA
rnacentral:lncRNA from 10 species